GUGAUGGAAGAAUUAAACAAUUAGAGCCCUGAAGUCUAGAUGUGUCCAGAAUUGGUGGGCUCUUGGUCUCACUGACUUCAAGAAUGAAGCCGUGGACCCUCGCGUUCAAACAACGUUUGUUUUUUUGUCUCAAAAGUUGGCAGCGGGGCAGCAAGCAAGAAAUCGCCAGCAAAAUGCUCCCUCUCAGGCUUUUGUUUUCAAUGAUUGAAGCCCAAGUCAGGGUAGGAUUUGCGGGAGGAGGCAGAGGGAAGCAGAAGGGCGUGAAGCCUUCCCAGUCCAGUAAGGAAGUUCUCUUCAGGGCAGAGGGAGAGCAAAACCCCAGAGGGGUGCAAUCUUGGAAAAGGUCAAUGAGUCACAAACACAGAUGGGCUCAGAAGCUAUAGCCUCCAUAUCUUAGCACAAAGACCCGUGGAAUCCGAAGGUGCUGCUGGGAUAGGCAAGAGGGACAACUCAGCAGCUUCUCAUCUGUUCCUGUGACUAAUGACCGGGGGAAGCCCCCGGCCUCCGUACUGGUCUUGGGGCAGUGUCCCCAGCCAUGACAGAAGCUAAGGUUGGGGUUGAUGAUAUUUAACCAGGCCCUGCUCCUUCCUUACAUUUGGAACUGAUUGGGAAGUAGACACAAGAGGCAAGUGGAUGGAAAUACAAAUAACUUUAUUCCCAAUAAACUUGGGCUUCAGGCUGUGCCUGGCCAGGCGGGCUUGUCUCUCCUUCUCUUGCCAGUUCUAGAUGUAGGUGGGAGCAACAGAAAAGCCUGCAUAUCCCGCAGGCUUUGAGCCUGGAAGUGGGAUUACUUUGUAGUAUUAGUCUGGGGUAUUCAUGUUUGUCCGAAGUACAGUCACAUAUUGAUUACCAAUGGGGAUACAUUCUGAGAAGUGCAUUGCUAGGCGAUUUCGUGGUAGUGGGAACAUCAUAGAGAGUAAUUACGCACACCUAGAUGCUGUGGCCUACUGCACACCCGGGCUACGUGGUUACAGCCCGUCACUCCUAGGCUACAAUCCUGCACAGUCCCUACAAUCCUAGGGACUGUCCUGAGGACUGCAGGCGGCUGUAACACAAGGGUAACUGUGUAUCUAAACAUAUCUCAACAUAGAAAAGAUACAGUGAAAAUACGGUAUAAAAGAUGAAAAAUCGUCACCUAUAUAGAGCAUUUAGCAUGAAUGGAGCUUGCAGUACUGGAAGUUGCUCUGGGUGUCAGCGAGUGAGUGGUGAGUGAAUAUGAAGGCCUAGGACGCUACUGUGCACUAUGGGAGACCUUAGAGACACUGUAUGCUUAGACUACGCUAAAUUUAUCUUAAAAAUUUUCUUCAUUAAUAAAUUCACCUUAGCUUACUGUAACUGUUUUACUUUAUAAACCUUUUAAUAUUUCAAAACUUUUUGAAGAUUGGGCACAGUGGCACAUGCCUGUAAUCCUAGCACUUUGGGAGGCUGAGGCAAGAGGAUUGCUUGAGCCCAGAAAUUCAAGACCAGCCUGGGCAACAUGGUAAGACCCUGUCUCUACAAAAAUUUUUUAAAACUUAGCCAGGCAUGGUGGCUUGUACAGCGCAAUUCUAUAUCCCUACUCAUUUUUUGACUGCUUGUUCUAACAAUUACUGAAAAGGAGUAUUAAAAUGUCCCAUUAUUCUUGUGAAUUUGUCUGUUUCUUUUAGAGUUGUGUACCAUUUUCAGUUAAAAUAUAUUUUGUUUUACAGAUGGGGGUCUCACUGUGUUGUGCAGGCUGGCCUCAGACUCCUGGGCUCAAGCAAUCCUCACACUUCAGCCUCCCAAGUAGCUGGGACUACAGGUUGGAGUGCAGUGGUGUGAUCUCGGCUGACUGUGACCUCCACCUUCCAGUUUCAAGCAAUUCUCCUGCCUCAGCCUCCUGAGUAGCUGGGAUUACAGGUGCCCACCACCCCGCCCGGCUAAUUUUUGUAUUUUUUAGUAGAAACAGCGUUUCACCAUGUUGGCCAGGCUAGUCUGGAGCUCCUGACCCUGUGAUCCGCCUGCCUCGGCCUCCCCAAGUGUUAGGAUUACAGGCAUGAGCCACUGCACCCGGCCUGUCUCAUUUCGUUUUUACUUUGGGAUUGACUGGGAUUACAGGUAGCUGGGAUUACAGGUGCCCACCACCCCGCCCGGCUAAUUUUUGUAUUUUUUAGUAGAAACAGCGUUUCACCAUGUUGGCCAGGCUAGUCUGGAGCUCCUGACCCUGUGAUCCGCCUGCCUCGGCCUCCCCAAGUGUUAGGAUUACAGGCAUGAGCCACUGCACCCGGCCUGUCUCAUUUCGUUUUUACUUUGGGAUUGACUGGAUAAUUUUUACUGUUUCAUUUUCCCCCAUCUAUUAACUGAUUAAUUAAACAUUUUUAACAGCUUUAUUAAGAUAUAAUUUAUAUACUUACAAUUACCUGGAUUUUAUUUUUUUAUUUUUGCCUUUUUAAUAAUUUCAACUUUUAUUUUAGAUUCAUGGGGUCCAUGUGUAGGUUUGUUACCUGGGUAUAUUUCAUGAUGCUGAGGUCUGGGGUAUGAUUGAUCUUGUCACCCAGGUAGUAAGUAUAGUACCCAAUAGCUAGUUUUUCAAUGCUUGGCUCCUUCCAUCCUUCCCCCUCUAGUAGUCCCCAGUGUCUAUUGCUGCCAUCUUUCUGUCCAUGAGUACCCAGUGUUUAGCUGCCACUUAUAAGUGAGAACAUACAGUAUGUGAUUUUCUGUUCCUGCAUUAAUUUGCUUAGGAUAAUGGCUUCCAGCUGCAUCCAUGUUGCUGCAAAGGACAUGAUUUCAUCUUUUUUUAAUGGCUGCAACCUGUUUAAAGUAUACAAUCAACAGAUUUUGUUAUUUUACACUAUUAAUAUAUAUAUAUUUUUUUAAUUAGAGACGGGGUUUCACCAUGUUGCCCAGGCAGGUCACGAACUCCUGAGCUCAAGCAAUCCACCCACCUCAGCCUCCCAAAGUGCUAGGAUUACAGGUAUGAGCCACUGUGCUCAGCCCAAUUUUUUUAGAUUGUGGUAAAAUAUACAUAACAAAAUUUUCCAUUUUACACAUUUUUAAAUUGUGACAUUAAUUACAUUCACAAUGUUGUACAACCAUCACCAUUAUCUAGUUUCAAAACUUUUUCAUCAUCCCAACAGAAACUCUGUAACAAUUAAACAAUAACUUCCCAUCCAACUAACUUCCC